rnacentral:tRNA from 1 species
GCGGGAAUAGCUCAGUUGGCUAGAGCGCAUCCUUGCCAAGGAUGAGGUCGCGAGUUCGAAUCUCGUUUCCCGCUCCA